rnacentral:rRNA from 1 species
UUAGAGUUUGAUCAUGGCUCAGGAUGAACGCUGGCGGCGUGCCUAAUACAUGCAAGUCGAGCGAAUGGAUUAAGAGCUUGCUCUUAUGAAGUUAGCGGCGGACGGGUGAGUAACACGUGGGUAACCUGCCCAUAAGACUGGGAUAACUCCGGGAAACCGGGGCUAAUACCGGAUAACAUUUUGAACGCAUGGUUCGAAAUUGAAAGGCGGCUUCGGCUGUCACUUAUGGAUGGACCCGCGUCGCAUUAGCUAGUUGGUGAGGUAACGGCUCACCAAGGCAACGAUGCGUAGCCGACCUGAGAGGGUGAUCGGCCACACUGGGACUGAGACACGGCCCAGACUCCUACGGGAGGCAGCAGUAGGGAAUCUUCCGCAAUGGACGAAAGUCUGACGGAGCAACGCCGCGUGAGUGAUGAAGGCUUUCGGGUCGUAAAACUCUGUUGUUAGGGAAGAACAAGUGCUAGUUGAAUAAGCUGGCCCCUGACCGGACUAACGAAGCGA